rnacentral:rRNA from 1 species
UAGGGAAUCUUCGGCAAUGGGGGGAACCCUGACCGAGCAACGCCGCGCGAGUGAAGAAGGUUUUCGGAUCGUAAAGCUCUGUUGUUAAGGAAGAACGAGUGUGAGAAUGGAAAGUUCAUGCUGUGACGGUACUUAACCAGAAAGGGACGGCUAACUACGUGCCAGCAGCCGCGGUAAUACGUAGGUCCCGAGCGUUGUCCGGAUUUAUUGGGCGUAAAGCGAGCGCAGGCGGUUAGAAAAGUCUGAAGUGAAAGGCAGUGGCUCAACCAUUGUAGGCUUUGGAAACUGUUUAACUUGAGUGCAGGAGGGGAGAGUGGAAUUCCAUGUGUAGCGGUGAAAUGCGUAGAUAUAUGGAGGAACACCGGUGGCGAAAGCGGCUCUCUGGUCUGUAACUGACGCUGAGGCUCGAAAGCGUGGGGAGCGAACAGG